rnacentral:rRNA from 1 species
GAGGAAUAUUGGGCAAUGCCCGCAAGGGUGACCCAGCAACGCCGCGUGGAGGAUGAAUGUCGUAAGAUUGUAAACUCCUGUUAGAGGGGAAGAAUAGUACCGGUUGGACCGGUAUAUGACUGUACCCUCAGAGAAAGCCCCGGCUAACUACGUGCCAGCAGCCGCGGUAAUACGGAGGGUGCGAGCGUUAUCCGGAUUUACUGGGUUUAAAGGGUGCGUAGGUGGGCUUAUAAGUCAGUGGUGAAAUCUCCGAGCUUAACUCGGAAACUGCCGUUGAUACUAUAGGUCUUGAAUUAUCUGGAGGUAAGCGGAAUAUGUCAUGUAGCGGUGAAAUGCUUAGAUAUGACAUAGAACACCAAUUGCGAAGGCAGCUUACUACAUAUAAAUUGACGCUGAGGCACGAAAGCGUGGGGAUCAAACA